rnacentral:tRNA from 1 species
UCCCUUUUGGCUCAGCUGGUAAAGAAUUCAUCUGCAAUGUGGAUGAUCUGGGUUCGAUCCCUGAAUUGGAA